CAGUCCUCACAGUUUUGUCUGUUUUGACAUGCACGCCUGGCACCUGAUUCUCGUUUGCCUGACCCGCUGUGUUACGAGAUGCCUGCGCGACGCGAGCUCGCUGACCGGCUCGUCAUUUUAAAAUGUAAACGUGCAACGGCUCCGCUGUGCUCUUGCCAUGCUGACCAGCUGUCGCGCCCCCGCUGCCCAGCGCGAGGGCAUCCGCACAAGAUUUUUCUGUAUUUUUUGAUGGGAAACAGGACA